AUUGAACGCUGGCGGCAGGCCUAACACAUGCAAGUCGAGCGGGGUUUUCGGACCUAGCGGCGGACGGGUGAGUAAUGCGUAGGAAGCUACCCGAUAGAGGGGGAUACCAGUUGGAAACGACUGUUAAUACCGCAUAAUGUCUACGGACCAAAGUGUGGGACCUUCGGGCCACAUGCUAUCGGAUGCGCCUACGUGGGAUUAGCUAGUUGGUGGGGUAAUGGCUCACCAAGGCGACGAUCCCUAGCUGGUUUGAGAGGAUGAUCAGCCACACUGGAACUGAGACACGGUCCAGACUCCUACGGGAGGCAGCAGUGGGGAAUAUUGGACAAUGGGCGCAAGCCUGAUCCAGCCAUGCCGCGUGUGUGAAGAAGGCCUUCGGGUAGUAAAGCACUUUCAGUAGGGAGGAAGGGGGUUGUGUUAAUAGCACAGCAUUUUGACGUUACCUACAGAAGAAGCACCGGCUAACUCUAUGCCAGCCGCCGCGGUAACAC
rnacentral:rRNA from 1 species